AUGAUAACACCACAACUGCAUUUUCAACACAACAGUAUUAGAAGGCUUCAUCCACGCGCUCUUUGAUACACCCAUGGGACAGGAGACAGAGUUUACUGUGGUGAGCCUGGAAUUAUGUGCAUGCUGAUUGACAUGCUAGUGUGCAAGUAUCGCUUGUCCCACCAGCUGCUGCUGCAGGAAUGGCUCUACCCACUUUCUUUCCUGUACCUGACUGCCUGUAAGAGCUAGCAGAACUUCACACAUUCUUUUCUUCUUUCACAUUUGGCUCAAUUUUACAAACCAGUCAAAAAAAGCUACAGGAGAGAUACCCACAAAUGGAAUGAUAAUGGAGGAAUGUGGUUUGUAUUGCUGAAGCCUGGGAAGAUGCAUGAUGGCUGGAAUGUGAUAAGUCACUGGAUUCAUUUUUUUCAGCAUAGCUAGAGCAGGAAAAAGUGGAAACCAUAUUUGACAGAUACUGCUUUUCAAGUUUACUCAGUAUGUAGAAUAACAGGAUUAGCUGAAUUCUAAUAUUCAAGUAAAGCUGAUAAACUUAUAAGUAGAAAACUCUUAGACUCUGUUACUGAUAACACAUUGGAAAAGUAGAGCAAAAGACGCAUGCUUAAGUUUUAUUUGUCUUAUGCCUUCACCAUUCUCAAUAUCCCCUACUUCACCCAAAAGAACAUUUCUAAUAAAGAUUUGAUUGAACACAAUAGCCCCAGUGCAAGACAGAUUGUCCAGCACUGACAUCUUGUUCAGUGGAAAAUUAAAACAAUUGUACUUGAACUGAAAUGUAAGCUGUUAGAAAAUGAUUUUGGUGUCAUUGAAGAAGUGUAGAUGCUACAAACACAGUCAACUAAAAAAGCCAGGUAUGACUGGGGAGCUUUGGGAAUUGCAAAUAGUUCAUGAGAAGGUUACUGUUUACCUGACAGAGACUGUAGAAUACAGCUUUAUACCAAGAAAUAGGCAGUCUCCUAAAAUGCCAUAAGGAAGGUUACAUGCACUAAGUUGUCAAAAAUGUGUCAAAGAUAGUAGUCAUUCACAAAGAUGGCUGAGUUCUAGUAUAUGGCAGAGCUGUAACUAUGGCUUGACAAGGUCUGAUAACAGCAAUGUAGUUGGACUUUGAUGAUCCUCGUGGGUCCCGUCCAAAGAAAGGUAUUUUACGAUUCUGUGCAGAUGUCUUGGGAGAUUCUAAAGGUCCGUAUAACAGCAUAAGGAACUUGAGAAAUUGUUAUUAAAUAUAUGUGUGCUUGAAAGUCUGUACUAAUUUAGGUUUUGGUGUGUGUGUAUUUGUGUCCUGGCUGUGUGAAAAUUAUGUUGAAAACUACAUUUUAAAGAUU
rnacentral:lncRNA from 1 species